GACAACAACAAGAAUAGAGAAGGCAGCCACUCCUCUUUGAACACUUAUCUACAAUACAUUAUUUCAUCCUCCUACAGACCCUACCAGAUGAAUGUCAUCAUUAUACCCACUUUAAAAUCAGGAAACGGAGACAUAGAGUGUUUGUUUUUCAUUGUCAAAAAGGUGUUUGCAAUGGAACGAAUCUGAACUAGUACUGAUGACUGGUACCCCAAGAAAGGAGACAAUGUGAAUCUAACUGUCCAGG
rnacentral:lncRNA from 1 species